rnacentral:lncRNA from 1 species
UUGGAAGUCAAGGCAAGUGGGGAACUCGUCCAGCUGAGCUUUCUGAAGCAUAUUUGAAGUUUAAACUAAGUAUGAGACCGUUGGAGAGAGAUCUGGCAAGUUGGAGAAUUAAUUAAGAUAAAAGUCACAUGUGCAUAAGGAGAUGAACCUGCUGUCACUUUCACCCAACCAGACUGUGCCCAUCUCUCUCUCCUGUCACUCUCUACUCCCUCUGGUCGAGAUUCUCCUUGGCUGCAUCCUCCUGGCUCCAUCAGAAACCCUACAAUAAUAUUAGUUUAGUAAAUCUGUACUUUAACAAUUGUUUAAUCACUUGCAACUUGUAAUCUGGCUAUAAAGCCACCCCAUUGUAACCAUUACGAAAUUAAGCUGAAUGGGGGAGUUUCCCCUUUCUUCUUCACCAUUCUCAAGUCUCUUAUACUCUCCCUAAUCUCUGGUUACAAGAAUCUCUCUCAUACUCUCUCAAAUCUCACUUAAUCUCUCU